AUCGCCGAAGUGAGAGAACGUUUAAGUGACUUUUUGGCAUUUGAGAAUGGGUUUACUACUGGAGAAUUAAACUGUCGCCGUAAAUUUAUUCAACAUGGAGCUAUUGCCGCGAUACCGGUUCGCUGCAAUAAAGUUGGGCCAGGGGCGUCUGCACUUAGCGCUGCAAUAAGCAUCUGGGAGAGCUAUUACGGCGAAAUAUCUAGCGCCGCAACAAACAUGGGUAUUUAAUUGAGAUGAUGCGAUGGUCACCCUAGCUGCAGUAGAUUUUCCCCAAAUUUCUCCCCUGCUACGCCGACGAUUCCAUCUCGACGAGUAGCUGCACCGCCGGUCGUCAGGCCGUCGCCUUUGCUGCCGGAGUCGUCUCCAAUACCUGGUAAUCAUAUAUUCUAAACCUUAAUUUCUUCCGUCCAGCUGUUCGUCGUCUCUCUCUCUCUCUCUCUUGUUCAACCCUCUCUCUCCCUAGGCUGCCCCAGUACCUUGAUUCGGCAUGCUCCCCACCGUGUUGCCAUAGCAGCCGGCCAUCCUAUUUUCAGCCAACGCAACUCUGAAAAAUGGACAAGAAUUAGAUGCACGUGCCAAAUAGGUUUACCUCACGUGAAUAUGGUGAAGGGAUUAACACUCUCCUCACCAUGGCAAAGACCCAUGCACCUGGACAAACUACCAUAAGGUGUCCAUGUCGGAGAUGCCGAAAUAACCUAUUCCUACCAUUCAAUGAAGUUGAUCAUCAUCUAUUCACGAUAGGUGUUAUCCUUCAUGUGGCCUAAGUGGGAAAAUGUAUGAAUCGUUUGCUGAUCAUCGCUUCCAGCAAGGUCAACCACAAAUUUGUACUGGGGAAUUUUCACUUCUUGUAGUUGGCUUCACAGUAAUGGCGUGAGAGCUCAAGGAACUAUUGUUGUACUGGGGAGGCUUUAUUGUAUUUCCUAGUGUUGUAAACUGCUUGUACGAUGAAAAAAGGGAAACCCUUUCAUGUUGAAUGCUUCAAAUUAUUUAAAUAUGUAUUCAUGUAGGCAAUGGUCUGAUUCGAGUACUCCCCAAGAUUUUGAACUUGCUUAUGGUUCAUGAAUUGAAAAUAUGGAUUAUGCAGGGAUGUAUUAUUAAAUUGCA